UAAGCUAUGAUCCGGAGAUUUCCGAAUGGGGCAACCCAGCAGUUUUAAUCAACUGUUACCACUAGAUGAAUUCAUAGUCUAGUUGGAGGUAAACGCUGUGAACUGAAACAUCUCAUUAGCAGCAGGAAUAUAAAGAAAUUUCGAUUCCCUAAGUAGCGGCGAGCGAACGGGGAACAGCCCAAACCAAAGUGCUUGCACUUUGGGGUUGUAGGACUGAACAUUUGAGU
rnacentral:rRNA from 1 species